rnacentral:rRNA from 1 species
UACGUAGGGGGCAAGCGUUGUCCGGAUUUAUUGGGCGUAAAGAGCGUGUAGGCGGCCAGACAGGUCCGUUGUGAAAACUCGAGGCUCAACCUCGAGAUGUCGAUGGAAACCGUCUGGCUAGAGUCCGGAAGAGGAGUGUGGAAUUCCUGGUGUAGCGGUGAAAUGCGCAGAUAUCAGGAAGAACACCUAUGGCGAAGGCAGCACUCUGGGACGGUACUGACGCUGAGACGCGAAGGUCAGGGGAGCAAACGGG